rnacentral:rRNA from 1 species
GACGAACGCUGGCGGCGUGCCUAAUACAUGCAAGUAGAACGCACAGUUUAUACCGUAGCUUGCUACGCCAUAGACUGUGAGUUGCGAACGGGUGAGUAACGCGUAGGUAACCUGCCUGGUAGCGGGGGAUAACUAUUGGAAACGAUAGCUAAUACCGCAUAAUAUUGAUUAUUGCAUGAUAAUUGAUUGAAAGAUGCUAUUGCAUCACUACCAGAUGGACCUGCGUUGUAUUAGCUAGUAGGUGAGGUAACGGCUCACCUAGGCGACGAUACAUAGCCGACCUGAGAGGGUGAUCGGCCACACUGGGACUGAGACACGGCCCAGACUCCUACGGGAGGCAGCAGUAGGGAAUCUUCGGCAAUGGACGAAAGUCUGACCGAGCAACGCCGCGUGAGUGAAGAAGGUUUUCGGAUCGUAAAGCUCGGUUGUAAGAGAAGAACGGGUGUGAGAGUGGAAAGUUCACACUGUGACGGUAUCUUACCAGAAAGGGACGGCUAACUACGUG